UGAUUGUAACUAGUUUAUUGAUUUGUUAAGUCUUGUAACUAAUGAAAAAUUCUGUUUUGUAAUUAACGGAGCUGUUAGCAAGUUGUUAGGGAAUCUUUUGAGAAAGAUUUGAAUAUUAAUACUCAGAUUGUGAUCAGUCUAUAGAGGGUCCAAUGAAUAUGCAAAAAUUCCUCUCUGGUUCUUCUUCUUUCUUUUCUCAUAAUUCUCU
rnacentral:lncRNA from 1 species